UUCGAGAGAAUCAUGGUGAAGGAACUCGGCAAAAUGCCCCCGUAACUUCGGGAGAAGGGGGGCCAUCCACUUAUACGGAUUUACUCCGGAAAGGGUGUGGUGGCCGCAGAGACCAGUGGGAAGCGACUGUUUACUAAAAACACAGGUCCGUGCGAACAAGCAAUUGGAUGUAUACGGACUGACGCCUCCCCGGUGCUGGAAGGUUAAGAGGAGAGGUCAACCCUUCGGGGUGAAGCUUUGAAUUUAAGCCCCAGUAAACGGCGGUGGUAACAAUAACCAUCCUAAGGUAGCGAAAUUCCUUGUCGGGUAAGUUCCGACCUGCACGAAUGGCGUAACGACUUCCCAGCUGUCUCCACCAUGAACUCGGCGAAGUCGCACUACGAGUAAAGAUGCUCGUUACGCGCAGAAGGACGGAAAGACCCCGUGACCUUUACUACAGCUUGGUAUUGGUGUUCGGUGUGGCUUGUGUAGGAUAGGUGGGAGACUGUGAAGCAGGGACGCUAGUUCUUGUGGAGUCAUUGUUGAAAUACCACUCUGGUCAUAUUGGAUAUCUAACUACGGACCCUGAUCGGGUUCUGGGACAGUGCCUGGUGGGUAGUUUAACUGGGGCGGUUGCCUCCUAAAGAGUAACGGAGGCGCCCAAAGGUUCCCUCAACCUGGUUGGCAAUCAGGUGGCGAGUGUAAGUGCACAAGGGAGCUUGACUGUGAGACUGACAGGUCGAGCAGGGACGAAAGUCGGGACUAGUGAUCCGGCAGUGGCUUGUGGAAGCGCUGUCGCUCAACGGAUAAAAGGUACCUCGGGGAUAACAGGCUGAUCUUGCCCAAGAGUCCAUAUCGACGGCAUGGUUUGGCACCUCGAUGUCGGCUCGUCGCAUCCUGGGGCUGGAGUAGGUCCCAAGGGUUGGGCUGUUCGCCCAUUAAAGCGGUACGCGAGCUGGGUUUAGAACGUCGUGAGACAGUUCGGUCCCUAUCCUCUGCGCGCGUUGGAAAUUUGAGAGGAUCUGACCCUAGUACGAGAGGACCGGGUUGGACGGACCUCUGGUGUGCCAGUUGUUCUGCCAAGGGCAUGGCUGGUUGGCUACGUUCGGGAUGGAUAACCGCUGAAAGCAUCUAAGCGGGAAGCCGGCCUCGAGAUGAGAUUUCCGUCACCCUUGUGGUGGUGAGGCUCCCAGGAGAUUACUGGGUUGAUAGGCCAGAUGUGGAAGCACUGUAAGGUGUGGAGCUGACUGGUACUAAUAAGCCGAUGGCUUGAC
rnacentral:rRNA from 1 species